rnacentral:lncRNA from 1 species
GUCCACGGGUGAUACGUGUUGGGGCCAAUGACAGGAAGAGACCAACUGCCAGAGGAAGUGCAGCAAGGAAAUUUUGUGGCUGGAGUCGUGUUAUGAAUUCCUGGGGUUUGAAGAGGACAAACACUGAUGAUUAAAUGCAGUUAUAAGGAUGACGAAGCAGGAAUGUCCUUGCCAGAUGCCUGCACUUUGAUACUGGACCUCUCAGCAUCCAAAACUAUAAAAAAAUGAUCUAUUUUCUUUGCAUAUUACACAGCCUGUGAUCUUUUGUUACAGUAACACAAAAUGGACUCAGUCAGCCAAGCACUGAAAAGAUCUCAGUUCUGCAGUGCCACCUCUGUUAAUAUACAAAGUGUUCAUACAUGUGUGUUUCUCUUUCAGAGCUCUCUAUUAUUUUCAACUGAUUUGUA